UACGUAGGGUGCGAGCGUUGUCCGGAAUUAUUGGGCGUAAAGAGCUCGUAGGCGGUGUGUCGCGUCGGCCGUGAAAACCUGGGGCUUAACUCUGGGCGUGCGGUCGAUACGGGCAUCACUAGAGUUCGGCAGGGGAGACUGGAAUUCCUGGUGUAGCGGUGAAAUGCGCAGAUAUCAGGAGGAACACCGGUGGCGAAGGCGGGUCUCUGGGCCGUAAC
rnacentral:rRNA from 1 species